ACGGUCUCAGUUCGGAUUGAAGGCUGAAAUUCGCCUUCAUGAAGCUGGAAUUGCUAGUAAUGGCAGGUCAGCAUACUGCCGUGAAUACGUUCCCGGGCCUUGUACACACCGCCCGUCACACCAUGAGAGUUGGAAAUACCCGAAGCCUGUGAGCUAACUGUAAAGAGGCAGCAGUCGAAGGUAGAGCCAAUGAUUGGGGUGAAGUCGUAACAAGGUACC
rnacentral:rRNA from 1 species